rnacentral:rRNA from 1 species
UACGUAGGGGGCUAGCGUUGUCCGGAAUCAUUGGGCGUAAAGAGCGCGUAGGCGGCCAGAUAAGUCCGGUGUGAAAGUCAAAGGCUCAACCUUUGAAUGCCGCUGGAAACUGUCUGGCUAGAGUCCGGGAGGGGCGAGUGGAAUUCCUGGUGUAGCGGUGAAAUGCGCAGAUAUCAGGAGGAACACCAAUGGCGAAGGCAGCUCGCUGGACCAGAACUGACGAUCAGGCACGAAAGCGUGGGGAGCAAACAGG